AUGGAGUUUUAUUACUAUAAGUUCAAGUCAAAACAAAUCCAAUCUAUACGACAACAACAAAGCUUUAUCCCACUAAAAAGGUCGGUUACAUGGAUCAAAUUGUGUCAUAAUGUUCUAUCCAAGACCAUAUUUCUAUCCAAAUCAUUAAUCUCAAGAUCCUACUUAAUAGUUUCUCUUAUAAUUUUUUCAGGUCUUCUUCUACCUCUAGUUGUUUGCCUCCUCUCCAUUUGA